AUUGCCCAACCUUGAGAAGCAACCAAUACGUCCUCUAGUAGGUUUUGUCUCCUUGAAAGCCCAUCUGUAUGAAAAAGCCUGACAAUCAUACAGAAAAAGAACUCUGCUUCAUGGAGAGAGGAAAACCACAUGGAGAUUUGUCAACAGUCACCUCCAUGAAUCCUCUCAAAGUUUCCAGAGAGCCCAGCUACCAACUGAAUGCAACAGACAAAAAAGUCUUCUGUUGUAUUCACCUCUGGACAAUGAUGGAUUAA
rnacentral:lncRNA from 1 species